UACAGAGGUCCCAAGCGUUGCCCGGAUUUAUUGGGCGUAAGGGGCGCGUAGGCGGUCACGCACGUCCGUUGUGAAAUCGCUCGGCUCAACUGGGCGGGGUCAGCGGAUACGGCGUGGCUGGAGCAAGCUAGGGGGCAAUGGAAUUCCCGGUGUAGUGGUGGAAUGCGUAGAUAUCGGGAGGAACACCAGUGGCGAAGGCGGUUGCCUGGAGCUUUGCUGACGCUGAUGCGCGAAAGCGUGGGGAGCAAACGGG
rnacentral:rRNA from 1 species